rnacentral:rRNA from 1 species
UUGGGAGUGCUCGCAAGAGAACCUGGGAACACAGUGUGCUGCAUGGCGUGUCGUCAGCUCUGUGUGCGUGAGAUGUUGGUGUUAAGUCCCGCAACGAGCGCAACCCUUGUCAUUAGUUGCUACGAAAGGGCACUCUAAUGAGACUGCCGGUGACAAACCGGAGGAAGGUGGGGAUGACGUGAAGUCCUCAUGGCCCUUAUGGGUAGGGCUUCACACGUCAUACAAUGGUCGGGACAGAGGGUCGCCAACCCGCGAGGGGGAGCCAAUCCCAGAAACCCGAUCGUCGUCCGGAUCGUUGCCAGUCUGCAACUCGACUGCGUGAAGUCGGAAUCGCUAGUAAUCGCGGAUCAGCAUGUCGCGGUGAAUACGUUCCCGGGUCUUGUACACACCGC